ACAACGGUUGCUUAGAAACCAGAUACCAAUGUGUUCUGUGGAUACAGGAAAAAGUACAUAAAUCAUUUGCAUAAUCUUUGUGAUUGGAUUAUAGCUGUGAGGGUGAUCGAAUCAGGAUCCAAACCUCCCGAGCUCAUUAGUGAUAGAAUGUUCAAGUUCAUGAAGAUGUCACUUAGACACAUGACAGGGAGUGGGAACAGGCUAGGUACCAGGCUACAGUAGUUCACUAUAUAGGGAAUAGGUUGCCAUUUGGGACACAGGUAUCUUGUAGAAGGAGAAGAGCAGACAGGACACAGGUGAGUUGUAUUUACAUUUAUUUGUUGUCCUGCAUAUGCAAAUAGACUUAAUGGGGAACAAUGCUGUCUAACCAAUACAGAAAUGUUAACAUACAUGUACCGUGACAAAGUGUUCUGUGGUCACAAUUUGUUGGGACUCAUAACAUGCGUACAGAGAUAAACAGUCUGAACAUUAAAAAGGUGUUUACUGAUAAUGUCCCUGAAAACUGUAAAAAAAAAAAAAAAAAAAAAUAGAGAAUAAAAAUAAAAUAAAAAAAUCCCCCAAAUAAGAGAGUCACAAUUUGACAUAGACACGGGAAACAAAACAACGUAGUAGCAUGUAUGUGUUUGUGGGAAGGGAAGUGGGAGUUCCAUAAUUCUACGUGAGAAUGACACAAAUAAUUCUGUCAAAGAAAAACAAAGACACAAUGUUUUCUCCACCAUUUUAAAACGGUAUCACCAAUAAUAAUACCAGGAGAAUGUCGUGGCACACUGUCCUUCUUCUGUUAGCUCAUAGAGUUAAAUUCAGCAUACACACGCACACACACACACAGACAGACUUUGGUGCUAAAUGGCUCUCUAUUCCCUACACAGGGCUCUGGCCAAAAGUAGUGCACUACAUAGGGAAUAGGGUGCUAUUUCAGUAUGCAUCUAUACUGAACAGCAGUGUUUUCCCAACUCCAGUACACAAUCCUUAAGAAACACUUGGUUCUAGAUAGCUGAUUCAACUCCGUUGCCCUGCUUCGCUACUGAUGAAUGAUUACUCUACACUUAUGAUUACUGAACACAAAUACCAAGAAAAAGCUUUUCCAUGCGGAAUCACUUUGAGAGAAAACAUGGGCACAUUGCAUGACCUUUCACAUUUAACAGAUGAAUCUUGGACAGAAAAAUUUAAAUAAAACCCAAAUGAGUCAAAAUAUCAUUUGGGGGGGGGGGGGAGUCUGGAGAUUGGAGACAGAACACACAUCACACAAUGUUGUGUGGAUCUCGAACGAUAAUUUCACUUCUUGUCGGGGUGGAUAGGCACACCAUCUUGCGAUAUGAGAACAUGUGUUCCUGUGUGUUCUGUUUGUCUUUUAGCCAGUCUAUCAUUGGGACAUUCCCUUGUCUGUGUACAUCGAUAGCCAUUGUUCAUAUGUGGCACUAAGCGAGGGAACUGCUCUCGCUCCCUUUACACAAGGACGGACUGCUCUCACCUAGAAACAGGUUAUAUUUUAGUCCAAAGACUAGUGUCCUUCCCUGCAUCCCAAAACUGGCUCCCUAACCUAUCCUAACCAUUUAUCAAUGGACCAGUCUUCCUGUAAGCAUGUCACAGGGAUCCAACCCAUCACUCCUUCCAGUGAUCUACAAUACUGACUUUUCAUUGACUUGGCUUCAGUAGGAGCCAAUCAGAGCGAUCCAUUCACAUCUCUUCCUGUCCGGGGUCAAAUUCCGCGUGCCAUUCUGAUGGUCCGUUAGACUCUCAUUGAUGUCUGUCUGUCUGUCUGUCUGUACUCUCUCUGUAUCUGUCUAACUGUCUCUCUCUCUCUGUAUCUGUCUAACUGUCUCUCUCUCUCUGUAUCUGUCUAACUGUCUCUCUCUCUCUGUAUCUGUCUAACUGUCUCUCUCUCUCUGUAUCUGUCUAACUGUCUCUCUCUCUCUGUAUCUGUUUAACUGUCUCUCUCUCUAUAUCUGUCUAACUGUCUCUCUCUCUCUGUAUCUGUCUAACUGUCUCUCUCUCUCUGUAUCUGUCUAACUGUCUCUCUCNNNNNNNNNNGCUCUUUCUCCAAUCGCCUUCCUGCUCUUUCUCCAAUCGUCUUCCUGCUCUUUCUCCAAUCGUCUUCCUGCUCUUUCUCCAAUCGUCUUCCUGCUCUUUCUUCACUCGUCUUCCUGCUCUUUCUCCAAUCGUCUUCCUGCUCUUUCUCCAAUCGUCUUCCUGCUCUUUCUCCAAUCGUCUUCCUGCUCUUUCUCCAAUCGUCUUCCUGCUCUUUCUCCAAUCGUCUUCCUGCUCUUUCU
rnacentral:lncRNA from 13 species